UACAGAGGUCUCAACCGUUGUUCGGAUUUAUUGGGCGUAAAGGGUGCGUAGGCGGUCGCGUAAGUCAGGUGUGAAAUCCCAGGGCUCAACCCUGGAACUGCACUUGAUACUGCGUGGCUAGGGUACUGGAGAGGAGACUGGAAUUUACGGUGUAGCAGUGAAAUGCGUAGAUAUCGUAAGGAAGACCAGUGGCGAAGGCGAGUCUCUGGACAGUUACCGACGCUGAGGCACGAAGGCCAGGGGAGCAAACGGG
rnacentral:rRNA from 1 species